UACUCCUACGGGAGGCAGCAGUGGGGAAUAUUGGACAAUGGGCGCAAGCCUGAUCCAGCCAUACCGCGUGGGUGAAGAAGGCCUUCGGGUUGUAAAGCCCUUUUGUUGGGAAAGAAAUCCAGCUGGUUAAUACCCGGUUGGGAUGACGGUACCCAAAGAAUAAGCACCGGCUAACUUCGUGCCAGCAGCCGCGGUAAUACGAAGGGUGCAAGCGUUACUCGGAAUUACUGGGCGUAAAGCGUGCGUAGGUGGUCGUUUAAGUCCGUUGUGAAAGCCCUGGGCUCAACCUGGGAACUGCAGUGGAUACUGGACGACUAGAGUGUGGUAGAGGGUAGCGGAAUUCCUGGUGUAGCAGUGAAAUGCGUAGAGAUCAGGAGGAACAUCCAUGGCGAAGGCAGCUACCUGGACCAACACUGACACUGAGGCACGAAAGCGUGGGGAGCAAACAGGAUUAGAUACCCUGGUAGUCCACGCCCUAAACGAUGCGAACUGGAUGUUGGGUGCAAUUUGGCACGCAGUAUCGAAGCUAACGCGUUAAGUUCGCCGCCUGGGGAGUACGGUCGCAAGACUGAAACUCAAAUGAAUUGACGGA
rnacentral:rRNA from 1 species